AUUGAACGCUGGCGGCAGGCCUAACACAUGCAAGUCGAACGAGUGGCGGACGGGUGAGUAAUGUCUGGGAAACUGCCCGAUGGAGGGGGAUAACUACUGGAAACGGUAGCUAAUACCGCAUACCAUCGGAUGUGCCCACAUGGGAUUAGCUAGUAGGUGGGGUAACGGCUGACCUAGGCGACGAUCCCUAGCUGGUCUGAGAGGAUGACCGGCCACACUGGAACUGAGACACGGCCCAGACUCCUACGGGAGGCAGCAGUGGGGAAUAUUGCACAAUGGGCGAAAGCCUGACGCAGCCACGCCGCGUGAAUGAAGAAGGUUUUCGGGUCGUAAAUCACUUUCGUUGAGGAGGCGGUAUCUGCAGAAGAAGCCACGGCUAACUCCGUGCCAGCAGCCGCGGUAAUAC
rnacentral:rRNA from 1 species